rnacentral:rRNA from 1 species
UACGUAGGGCGCAAGCGUUAUCCGGAAUUAUUGGGCGUAAAGAGCUCGUAGGCGGUUUGUCGCGUCUGCUGUGAAAUCCGGAGGCUCAACCUCCGGCCUGCAGUGGGUACGGGCAGACUAGAGUGCGGUAGGGGAGAUUGGAAUUCCUGGUGUAGCGGUGGAAUGCGCAGAUAUCAGGAGGAACACCGAUGGCGAAGACAGAUCUCUGGGCCGUAACUGACGCUGAGGAGCGAAAGGGUGGGGAGCAAAC